UACGAAGGGGGCUAGCGUUGCUCGGAAUGACUGGGCGUAAAGGGCGCGUAGGCGGUUUGCACAGUCAGGCGUGAAAUUCCUGGGCUUAACCUGGGGGCUGCGCUUGAUACGUGUGGACUGGAGUGCGGAAGAGGGUCGUGGGAAUUCCCAGUGUAGAGGUGAAAUUCGUAGAUAUUGGGAAGAACACCGGUGGCGAAGGCGGCGACCUGGUCCGUGACUGACGCUGAGGCGCGAAAGCGUGGGGAGCAAACAGG
rnacentral:rRNA from 1 species